CUCCUACGGGAGGCAGCAGUGGGGAAUCUUGCACAAUGGGCGAAAGCCUGAUGCAGCGACGCCGCGUGAGCGAUGAAGCCCUUCGGGGUGUAAAGCUCUUUCGACGGGAACGAUAAUGACGGUACCCGGAGAAGAAGCUGCGGCUAACUACGUGCCAGCAGCCGCGGUAAUACGUAGGCAGUGAGCGUUGUUCGGAAUUACUGGGCGUAAAGAGUGUGUAGGCGGUGCUCCCAGUCUGUUGUGAAAUCUCCCGGCUUAACUGGGAGGGUGCAGCGGAAACUAGAGUGCUAGAGGGUGGGAGAGGUAAGCGGAAUUCCUGGUGUAGCGGUGAAAUGCGUAGAUAUCAGGAGGAACACCUGUGGUGUAGACAGCUUACUGGACCACUUCUGACGCUGAGACACGAAAGCGUGGGUAGCAAACAGGAUUAGAUACCCUGGUAGUCCACGCCCUAAACGAUGCAUACUUGGUGUGAGCGAUUCAUUUCGUUCGUGCCGGAGCUAACGCGUUAAGU
rnacentral:rRNA from 1 species